UACGGAGGGUGCAAGCGUUGUUCGGAAUUAUUGGGCGUAAAGGGCAGGUAGGUGGUCUUAUAAGUCUACUGUGAAAUCCCCGAGCUUAACUCGGGAAGUGCGGUGGAUACUGUAAGACUAGAGUGCUAUAGGGGUACGCGGAAUUCUCGGUGUAGCGGUGAAAUGCGUAGAGAUCGAGAGGAACACCAGAGGCGAAGGCGGCGUACUGGAGAGCAACUGACACUCAACUGCGAAAGCGUGGGUAGCAAACAGG
rnacentral:rRNA from 1 species